rnacentral:rRNA from 1 species
GGCGGCGUGCUUAACACAUGCAAGUCGAACGGAAAGGCCCUGCUUGCAGGGUACUCGAGUGGCGAACGGGUGAGUAACACGUGGGUGAUCUGCCCUGCACUUCGGGAUAAGCCUGGGAAACUGGGUCUAAUACCGGAUAGGACCAUCGUUUAGUGUCGGUGGUGGAAAGUUUUUCGGUGCAGGAUGAGCUCGCGGCCUAUCAGCUUGUUGGUGGGGUAAUGGCCUACCAAGGCGUCGACGGGUAGCCGGCCUGAGAGGGUGGACGGCCACAUUGGGACUGAGACACGGCCCAGACUCCUACGGGAGGCAGCAGUGGGGAAUAUUGCACAAUGGGCGCAAGCCUGAUGCAGCGACGCCGCGUGGGGGAUGAAGGCCUUCGGGUUGUAAACUCCUUUCAACCAUGACGAAGCAUUAUGUGACGGUAGUGGUAGAAGAAGCACCGGCUAACUACGUGCCAGCAGCCGCGGUAAUACGUAGGGUGCGAGCGUUGUCCGGAAUUACUGGGCGUAAAGAGCUCGUAGGUGGUUUGUCGCGUCGUCUGUGAAAUUCCGGGGCUUAACUCCGGGCGUGCAGGCGAUACGGGCAUAACUUGAGUGCUGUAGGGGAGACUGGAAUUCCUGGUGUAGCGGUGAAAUGCGCAGAUAUCAGGAGGAACACCGAUGGCGAAGGCAGGUCUCUGGG